CAGAAUCGAAAUACGAGAGACCUUUACUCAUCUCUCUUCCAUUAAUGUCCCAGAAAAAGGGAAGAAACAAAUACAAGUCGAGAGACGCUCGCCCUAUCUCUCUCUCUCUCCUUAGCUGUUAGAUCGGACAUUAUGGCCCCCGUAACAUUGCUGAAAACCCUGAAUCCCUCCCGUUUGAAAACCUUCCUCUUGAUCUUUUCCUUUCUCCUCAUCUUCUACCUUCUCUCCCACCGCCACGCUCCUGUCUCGCAUCUCCAAAGCGCGUCCCAGUCUCCACUCACGCGCCGCCACCUUCUCUUCGCUAUCGCCUCCUCUUAUCGUUCCUGGCCUCGCCGCAAGUCCUACGUCCGACUCUGGUACUCUCCCAACUGCACGCGCGCACUCGCUUUCCUGGAUCGCGUCGCCCCCGAUGCGGCCAGUGACGACAGCGUCCCUCCGGUUGUCGUCUCCGAAGACACCUCCAAAUUCCCUUACACAUUCCCGAGGGGCCUCCGAUCGGCGAUACGCGUGGCGCGCGUGGUGAAGGAGGUCGUCGAUCGCGACGAGAAGGACGUUAGGUGGUAUGUGUUCGGAGACGACGACACGGUCUUCGUCGUGGACAAUCUGGUCAAAACCCUGGCGAAGUACGACCACGGGCGGUGGUUUUACAUAGGUAGCAACUCGGAGGGCUACUAUCAGAACGUGAAGAACUCCUUUGAGAUGGCAUAUGGUGGUGGAGGCUUCGCAAUAAGCUAUUCGCUCGCAAGAGUUUUGGCCAGGGUUCUCGAUUCGUGCUUGGUGAGGUACGCGCACUUGUACGGAAGUGAUUCUAGGAUAUUUUCGUGCUUGGCGGAACUCGGUGUCGGAUUAACCCAUGAACCUGGGUUUCAUCAGGUUGACAUGAGGGGGAAUUUGUUCGGUUUGCUGUCUUCACAUCCAUUAGCUCCUUUAGUAUCCCUUCAUCAUUUGGAUGCUGUGGACCCAAUCUUCCCUAACAUGAGCAGGACUCUAGCAAUGGGGCAUCUUUUUGAAGCCGUGAAUGUUGAUCCUGGCAGGAUAUUGCAACAAACUGUCUGCUAUGACCCUUCAAAUUCAUUGACUGUUUCAGUUGCAUGGGGUUAUGCGAUCCAGGUGUUCGAGGGUAAUGAAUAUCUCCCAGAUCUCCUUCUACCGCAGAAAACUUUUAUGCCGUGGAAGAGGGGAGUCUCUAUUGAUGCAAGUCGUUACAUGUUUAGGACAAGAGAAUAUCCGAAAGAUGCAUGUAAAAGACCUCUUAUCUUCUUUCUGGAAAGUGUGAUACCCGAUAAAGGUGGUGUCUGGAGCUACUACACUGGGCACAUGGUUGGAGAGUGUGACAGACCUAAUGCAAUAAAGAACUUGACACGUGUCAAAGUGUUUUCUAAGAUGCUUGAGCUUGAUAUGGAACAGAUGAAGGCUCCUUGUCGUCAUUGCUGUGACAUUUUGCCCUCUUUUAAUGAAUCUAUGGUCAUUAAACUUAGACAAUGCGGAGUUGAUGAACUAAUUUCCAUGCAUGUCUAGCAUUUUAUGUGGAGAGAACUUUUAAAGUACAUGCAGAGGUUAGAAAGUUCUGAAGCAGUUUCUGGUCUCUUUAUUUAACUUUUGGCAUGCGAACUGCGAGGGUAUGUACCCACUCUCUCCAGCACUGGGGAGGCCCUGGAUAUGGCGGAUUGGCGCCUUCCCGAUGCUGGAUCUUAGAUCUGACGCUGGGAAGGUGCGGCACCAGGGAAGCAGUCCAGCGCUGGAGUGUCUGGUAGUCAGAUCCAGCAGAGUAUUGCGGCAACACCGGUGUCAAAAAAUUUUCUGGUCACCAGGAACGUGUCGAUGAUUUUUCCAGAUGUAAAGAAAGAAUGUCACAUGCCAAAGAUGAUGGAUGACAAAUAAGUGAAAUGAAAUGUGCAACAUCUCUCAUCGAUUGCAGCGUAAUUGUGAUUACUCCCUAUCAGACUCCGCCCUACAGAAACAUGUGAUGAUGCAUCACAUGAUGGGUUUGGGUCCAUAUCAUGGACUAAAGAUUCAAUAAUUUUAAUUGGGUUAUCUUUUGUGAAA